rnacentral:tRNA from 1 species
ACGGGACUAGCUCAGUCGGUAGAGCACUGGUCUCCAAAACCAGGUGUCGGGGGUUCGAGUCCCUCGUCCCGUG